rnacentral:rRNA from 1 species
GACGAACGCUGGCGGCGUGCUUAACACAUGCAAGUCGAACGGAAAGGCCCUGCUUGCAGGGUACUCGAGUGGCGAACGGGUGAGUAACACGUGGGUGAUCUGCCCUGCACUUCGGGAUAAGCCUGGGAAACUGGGUCUAAUACCGGAUAGGAGCCAUUUUUAGUGUGAUGGUUGGAAAGUUUUUUCGGUGUAGGAUGAGCUCGCGGCCUAUCAGCUUGUUGGUGGGGUAAUGGCCUACCAAGGCGGCGACGGGUAGCCGGCCUGAGAGGGUGGACGGCCACAUUGGGACUGAGAUACGGCCCAGACUCCUACGGGAGGCAGCAGUGGGGAAUAUUGCACAAGGGGCGCAAGCCGGAUGCAGCGACGCCGCGUGGGGGAUGACGGCCUUCGGGUUGUAAACUCCUUUCGCUAGGGACGAAGCUUUUUGUGACGGUACCUAGAGAAGAAGCACCGGCUAACUACGUG